rnacentral:lncRNA from 1 species
CGAUGUUGUGACCCAGCUCGUAUGUCGAGGUGCUAGAACAUGCCCAGUUGCCCGAAGACCUCAUCUUAGCCAUACACCAAUGCAUUGUUUGAGUUCGUACCCAACAACAAUAACAUCAACCCUAAUAACCUAGAAAAAGACUGCCUGACCCUGUAAGUAGCCACCCUGAUAAACGAAUUCGAGUCGCCCCUCCCCCUGCUCUACCUCCACCUCCUAGACGGCUUGCCCAAC